CAAACAUAUUUGAUAGUCUGAAACGGAAGCAAGAAAUAUUACGCAAGUUAGAUGAGGACAUAGUACAGGAACUGGACGACGGAGAUAUUGAAACAGAGAUCGUUGAAGCAGAUGAGUAUGCAUUUAACUUAGAAGGUAAAAUUCGUCAAGUCAACACAUUUAUCUUAGUCAAAACUACAUCGUUGAAUACACACGCAGAAAGUUUUACUCCACGCAUAGAAACUACCCAACCCGUUCAUACUAUAAACUCUUCAUAUACAGAACACCAGAACAACUCAAAUUACCGUUUGUCAGAUUUUCGCCCAUCCUUUAGCUCAACUAGUGAAUACAACAAA
rnacentral:lncRNA from 1 species